UACGUAGGUGGCAAGCGUUGUCCGGAUUUAUUGGGUUUAAAGGGUGCGUAGGUGGCGCCAUAAGUCAGGUGUGAAAUCUCGGGGCUCAACCCCGAAACUGCACUUGAUACUGUGGUGCUCGAGUACUGGAGAGGAGAUUGGAAUUUACGGUGUAGCAGUGAAAUGCGUAGAUAUCGUAAGGAAGACCAGUGGCGAAGGCGAAUCUCUGGACAGUUACUGACACUGAGGCACGAAGGCCAGGGGAGCAAACGGG
rnacentral:rRNA from 1 species